rnacentral:rRNA from 1 species
GAUGAACGCUGGCGGCGUGCCUAAUACAUGCAAGUCGAGCGAACAGAUGAGGAGCUUGCUCCUCUGACGUUAGCGGCGGACGGGUGAGUAACACGUGGAUAACCUACCUAUAAGACUGGGAUAACUUCGGGAAACCGGAGCUAAUACCGGAUAAUAUAUUGAACCGCAUGGUUCAAUAGUGAAAGACGGUUUUGCUGUCACUUAUAGAUGGAUCCGCGCCGCAUUAGCUAGUUGGUAAGGUAACGGCUUACCAAGGCAACGAUGGGUAGCCGACCUGAGAGGGUGAUCGGCCACACUGGAACGGAGACACGGUCCAGACUCCUACGGGAGGCAGCAGUAGGGAAUCUUCCGCAAUGGGCGAAAGCCUGACGGAGCAACGCCGCGUGAGUGAUGAAGGUCUUCGGAUCGUAAAACUCUGUUAUUAGGGAAGAACAAAUGUGUAAGUAACUAUGCACGUCUUGACGGUACCUAAUCAGAAAGCCACGGCUAACUACGUG